rnacentral:rRNA from 1 species
AAGGCAGCCCGCCAGCCCGCUACUGACGUUGAGGCUCGAAGGUGCGGGUAUCGAACAGGAUUAGAUACCCUGGUAGUCCGCACGGUAAACGAUGGACACCCGCCGUGGGCGACAUACAGUCCGCGGCCAAGCGAAAGCGUUAAGUGUCCCGCCUGGGGAGUACGCCGGCAACGGUGAAACUCAAAGGAAUUGACGGGGGCCCGCACAAGCGGAGGAACAUGUGGUUUAAUUCGAUGAUACGCGAGGAACCUUACCCGGGCUCGAACCUCCCCCGAAUCCGGCGGAGACGCCGGAGCCAGCAAUGGCGGGGGCGGAGGUGCUGCAUGGUUGUCGUCAGCUCGUGCCGUGAGGUGUCGGCUUAAGUGCCAUAACGAGCGCAACCCCUCCCUCCAGUUGCCAUCGGGUAAUGCCGGGGACUCUGGAGGCACUGCCAUCGCAAGAUGCGAGGAAGGCGGGGAUGACGUCAAAUCAGCACGGCCCUUACGUCCGGGGCUACACACGUGUUACAAUGGGGGGUACAGAGGGCCGCUGCACGGCGACGUGCGGCCAAUCCCUAAAUCCCCUCCCAGUUCGGACCGGAGUCUGGAACCCGACUCCGCGAAGCUGGAUUCGCUAGUAAUCGCGCAUCAGCCAUGGCGCGGUGAAUACGUUCCCGGGCCUUGUACACACCGCCCGUCAAGCCAUGAAAGCCGGGGGUGCNNNAAGUGCGCUUCCGCGAGGGGCGCCCUAGGGUAAAACCGGUGAUUGGGGCUAAGUGGUAACAAGGUAGCCGUAA